AACGAACGCUGGCGGCAUGCCUAACACAUGCAAGUCGAACGAGACCUUCGGGUCUAGUGGCGCACGGGUGCGUAACGCGUGGGAACCUGCCCUUAGGUUCGGAAUAACUCCCCGAAAGGGGUGCUAAUACCGGAUAAUGUCUUCGGACCAAAGAUUUAUCGCCUUUGGAUGGGCCCGCGUUGGAUUAGCUAGUUGGUAGGGUAAAAGCCUACCAAGGCGACGAUCCAUAGCUGGUCUGAGAGGAUGAUCAGCCACACUGGGACUGCGACACGGCCCAGACUCCUACGGGAGGCAGCAGUGGGGAAUAUUGGACAAUGAGCGAAAGCCUGAUCCAGCAAUGCCGCGUGAGUGAUGAAGGCCUUAGGGUUGUAAAGCUCUUUUACCCGGGAUGAUAAUGACAGUACCGGGAGAAUAAGCUCCGGCUAACUCCGUG
rnacentral:rRNA from 1 species